ACGAACCGUGCGAACGUUGUUCGGAUUCACUGGGCUUAAAGGGCGCGUAGGCGGACGUUCAAGUCAGGGGUGAAAUCCUUCAGCUUAACUGGAGAAGUGCCUCUGAUACUGAUCGUCUCGAGGGAGGUAGGGGCAUGUGGAACUUCCGGUGGAGCGGUGAAAUGCGUAGAUAUCGGAAGGAACGCCGGUGGCGAAAGCGACGUGCUGGACCUCUUCUGACGCUGAGGCGCGAAAGCUAGGGGAGCGAACGGGAUUAGAUACCCCGGUAGUCCUAGCCCUAAACGAUGGGUACUAGAUUGUGGACUUAACAGGGGUUCACAGUCGAAGCAAAAGCGUUAAGUACCCCGCCUGGGGAGUAUGGUCGCAAGGCUG
rnacentral:rRNA from 1 species